GACAGCUGCCACCCUGAGCUGUGGGAAAGUGCUGAACUGUGAGAAGAUAUCGCCGCGUGAACAGCGUGUGAACAAGAAGGUGACUGGUCUGCACAGCGUGUGUUAGAGCGGUCUUAUGCUGAUAGGAGAAAAGGUAGAUUGCUGUCUAAUUGCUGAUUUACUAAUUAUGAAGUAAGAGCUUU